rnacentral:rRNA from 1 species
GAUGAACGCUGACAGCAUGCUUAACACAUGCAAGUCUACUGGAACUUCGGUGUGGGUGGCGGACGGGUGAGUAACGCGUAAGGAACUUGCCUCACAGUUAGGGACAACAUUUGGAAACGAAUGCUAAUACCAGAUAUUAUGAUUUUAGGGCAUCCUAAAAUUAUGAAAGCUAUAUGCGCUGUGAGAGAGCUUUGCGUCCCAUUAGCUAGUUGGAGAGGUAACGGCUCACCAAGGCGAGGAUGGGUAGCCGGCCUGAGUGGGUGAACGGCCACAAGGGGACGGAGACACGGCCAGUACUCCUACGGGAGGCAGAAGUGGGGAAAAUUGGACAAUGGACCAAAAGUGUGAUCGAGAAACUCUGUGUGCAAGAUGACGUUUUUCGGAAUGAAAAGUGCUUUCAGUUGGGAAGAAAAAAAUGACGGUACCAACAGAAGAAGAGACGGCUAAAUACGUG